rnacentral:tRNA from 1 species
GCCGAGAUAGCUCAGCCUGGUUAGAGCGCUGGACUCAUAAUCCAGAGGCCGCGGGUUCGAAGCCCGCUCUCGGCA